ensembl:processed_transcript Sox2ot SOX2 overlapping transcript (non-protein coding)
CCUGCUCAGGGCUGACUGUGGCAGGGGACACUCUCCUGCUGGCUCUCUCUGUCCACACUUAGCUGGCUCCUGUCCUCAGGUGCACGGCCACACCCUUGCACCCAACCUUGAUCCUCUGAUGGGGAAGGUCCCAGGACUUGUCUGCUGGGACAGGCCUCACCCCCAAGAGCUCUGGGCAGUACUGAGAAGCAAACCUGACAGAUUUCUCCAGAACAGUGGCCAUCCAUGGGAUGAGUGAAAGCCUCUUUCUAUUCCAGGGAUUGCAGAGGCAAAGCUAGACUAGGUCUUGGAAGCUGGUGUAAGGCGGUGCGCGGAAGGCAGGACGCUGAUGGGAGAGACUGGUCGAAGAAAAGCCGAAAUGGAUUCUCCGUGCCUUGGAUGGAGAAAGAGGGGGGAAGUGCGAGCUCCUUCAACUCGUUCUGUCCGGUGAGGAGUGAUCCAGCUUGGGCUGACGAGAGGCUCCGGAGCCUUCACGUUCAGUGCUUUUUACCUGCCAAUCAAACUGCUACAAGACAACACCCUGAUCUGGCAUGGUCGCGCGCCGCGGGUCCAAGCCUGUAGUCCCAAAUCGGAAAAUCUCUGCAGCUGGUACACGCAAAAGAGAAGCCAGGCAACAGACAUAUUACAGAAGAAAGCUCUCGACUCCGAGAUCGAACCUAGAAAUUGUACUCUCCUCAAUCCGCUUAAGAGAAUCUGGCUGAUGGCUUUGGUCUGAGAGUUCAGACAUCUCUUGUGCAGCUAAGAAAGACCUCAUUUUCCAUUUGCUGGAUCCUCCUGGUUUGUCAUCCCUGAAUCCUGUAAGAAGGUCAUCAGGAGGUCCCCUGCGCUAGAAGGACCAUGUGAGUUCAUCCCAGAUGAUGGGUGGCACCAUGGUUUUAGCAGCUCACACAGUGGAGAACCACAUUCGCUCUGGAAGAGCUUGGCAACAUGUAUUUGGUAACAGAACAAGGUCAGCUUGAGCUCUAUCCUUCUGUGGCUAUACUGAACAAAAGGAGAGAGAAAGGAAGAGAGAGAGACAGAGGCAGAGACAGGCAGAGACAGGCAGACAGAGACAGAGACAGAAACAGAGAAAUGAUUCCUGAAUUAUUUUUAAAAAUUAAUUUUAAAAUUCAGACCAAUUAAUCAGUAAUACAUGCCUGUAGUCUCAGCCUAGAACAGAUCAAACAGGAAAGUCUCAAGACUAAGGUCAGCCUGGACCACUGGAGAGUUUCAAAGAAAACAAAUUACCAUUUGGGCAUAAUGGCACACACCUUUUAAUUCCAGUCCUUGGGAAGCAGAGGCAAGUAGGUCUCUGAGUUCAGGACCCGCCUGGUCUACAGAGUGAGUUCCAGGUCAACCAGGGCUAUACAGAGAAACCUUAUCUCAAACCAACCAACAAAACCCACAGCAAACUGAAAACAGGUUAUCUUUUAAAAAGACAAUUUAGCCGGGCAGUGGUGGCGCAUGCCUUUAAUCCCAGCACUUGGGAGGCAGAGGCAGGCGGAUUUCUGAGUUUGAGGCCAGCCUGGUCUACAAAGUGAGUUCCAAGACAGCCGGGACUAUACAGAGAAACACUGUUUCGAAAAAACCAAAACAAAAAAGAUGACUUAGCCAGUUAUGGUGGCUCAUGCCUUUAAUCCCAGCACUUGCAAGGUAGACACAGGCAACGAGUUCAAGUCUAUCCAGGUCUAUAUAUUGAAUUCCAGGACACUCAGGGGUACAGAUUAGAGAGACUUCAUGUUUAACACACACACACACACACACACACCACUAUGUGAAUACAUAGAUUUAUGUGCAUUCUAUUCCAGAAAGCCUGUGGUGAUUAUAAAACAGUAAAAAUAGGUCACAGUAGAAAGGACCUUCAAGAUCCGCUUAGAACACUUACCUGUCACUUCUGUGUCACUUUACAUUUCUAUAAUUCAUCUUUUGAGGGAGGCUCAGAAUCGAUAUGAAAUGAUAUAUGUUUACCCCAAUCAGGCUCUCAUAUAUUCUAAGCUGGCCUUGAACUCCUGAUAUAGCAGAGGGUGGCCUUGAUCUGGGAGCAAAGGUGCUGUCAUUUCCAGCAGAGAAAUGAUAUCUAGACCAAAGACACAGCUUUUAUUAUAUAGCCAAUGCUUCUUUAAAUGCCUGGCAACCCUCCCUUCUGCAGUGCUUGAUGGUGUGUUACCGAAGGAGUUUUCCUAAACACCAGCACAAAUGAACGGGCACACAUCAAGCAUACAAGACCUGGAGGAGGGAGGGGGCCUUGCCGAUUCCUCAGAUGCAGUGAUGGAUGAGAAAAGUAAGGGUGGACCAGAGCAGCCACAGCAUUGAAAGUCUAUGGUUUCAUUUCACAGAAGUAGUUGUUCAGCUCUGUACUUGGUUUGCCAUUGGCAGUGUUGUAUAGAGAGGGCUGAGGCUCAAACCCAGGUCCUUACCACUAGGGCCUGUCAUUCUUAGCCUUCCAACCUUAAAAACAAACAAAACAACAACAACAACAACAACAAAACUUAUUUUGAUUUUCAUUUCAUUUCAUAUUGCACCCAGGAUCUAUUUUAAGAAAUCUUGUGUUAUAACCUGUGACCAAAAGUUAAGUAGCAGUUUUUCUAAUGUGUCUGCGUUUGCUAUAAAGAAUUGAAACUGAGCCAGGCAGUGUUGGUGCACGCCUUUACUCUCAGCACUUGGGAGGCAGAAGCAGAUGGAUUUCUGAGUUCAAGGCAAGCCUGGUCUACAGAGUGAGGACAGGACUGCCAGGGUUAUACAGAGAAACCCUAUCUCCAAAGGGGGUGGGGUGGGAGUGGGGGACAGUUUGAAACUGAGUAUUUUCAUUGUCUGGCACUUUAUAACAGGUCUUAUUUGGUAUUGACAUUGGUAUUUGGAAUGAGCAUUUGAAGGUUUUAAAAGCUUCGGUAUUUAUUUUGUUCUAAAAUAAAGUACUUUUUCCCUCUG